CUUGGGUGAAACAAUAGCCAAUAGAAAGGCAGUCUUGACUGAGAGCUCACAUAGCUCAAUUGAAGACAGGCUCAAAUGGUGGGCUCAUAAAUGAUCGUAGGACAACAUCUAACUCCCAUGAGGGUACUGAAGGAGCCCUGCGGGGCAGUAGCCUGCUGGCACCUUUCAUGAAUUGCGAUGCUAAAGGGUGUGCCUGCGCUGAAGACGUCUAUAUCGGUCCACAAAUACAGGACUAACAAAGGACCAGUGCACUACUUUUGUGAUAAAAAAAGAAAAGAAAAGAUGCUCUUUUGCAAGUGCCAUGCUCUACCAACUAAACCACGUCAUCACAAAUCACUUGAUGUCUCAAUGUACUCAAUGACUGGAUUGUACAUUGUUUUUCUUCAUGGUGAUGUAAAGUCUACAGGUGGUGUAGCAGCACCCUCAGCACCCCUACUUCCUGUGGCUAUGCCUGGAAUAGCUCAAGAAAGAGGCUAGACUGUUCUGGAGUGGCCAGGGAAGAGUGCAGAUCUGAGUCACAUCCCUAACCUAUGGCGUGAACUGAAAACAGCAGUUGGUGGAGGGCACCCCUAAAACAUUGAAGAAUUAGAGCAGUUUGCUGCGGAAAACUGGGCCAAAUUGCCAGGUAGAAAGGUGCAGCAAGCCCAUUGAUGUCUACAAGAAGUAUUUAGGAGUUAUCUUGGUCAAAGGCUGUGCAACCACGUACUAGCUCCUGGGUGCCAAUAGUUUUGCCAAUGCCAUUUUUCUUUAUUUUCUAAAUUAAAAUUAAAAUUGUAAACUUAAGUUUACAAAAAAAAAUAUAUAUAUGGCCGCAACUGUAUGACUGAAUUGUUGACAACACACUAUAUUAUGCAACAUAAAUGGGUUAAACCCCAUUUCAUGCCCCAUGGGGUUAAUAAUCAAUAUUCAGACUAAGGUUGCCUAUAAAAUAAUGCCUGUAAUAGUAAUAAAAACUGCACUUGAUGAUUUACAAUCUCAAAAUGUGUCCGGAACAUGUGGGAAACACAUGAUCUUAAAUUCAAGAAAAACAUUUGGGGGGAUAUUGCACACUACACAACACCUGAAAACUCAUUCAUUUCAAUGUAAUUGAAAAUUCAUGUUUGGACAUACAAAAUGACCAUAAUGUUCUCAAAUUCAAGAUCAGUCCUCAUUUAACAAUGCUUUACCUACCUAUGAAAGCCAUUGAAGCAGACCUAAAGUAAUUUAUGUAAUAUAUUUUUUUACAAGCAAAAAUGUUAUGCAAAUUGCCAUUCUAAUAUGGCAUUGCUAAUAUGAACCUCUUGACUUCUCAACCGUCUG